rnacentral:rRNA from 1 species
AGUGAACGCUGGCGGCAGGCCUAACACAUGCAAGUCGAACGGCCGCACAGUAAGCUCUUGCUCUUACGGGUGGCGAGUGGCGGACGGGUGAGGAAUACAUCGGAAUCUACUUUUUCGUGGGGGAUAACGUAGGGAAACUUACGCUAAUACCGCAUACGACCUACGGGUGAAAGCAGGGGAUCUUCGGACCUUGCGCGAUUGAAUGAGCCGAUGUCGGAUUAGCUAGUUGGCGGGGUAAAGGCCCACCAAGGCGACGAUCCGUAGCUGGUCUGAGAGGAUGAUCAGCCACACUGGAACUGAGACACGGUCCAGACUCCUACGGGAGGCAGCAGUGGGGAAUAUUGGACAAUGGGCGCAAGCCUGAUGCAGCCAUGCCGCGUGGGUGAAGAAGGCCUUCGGGUUGUAAAGCCCUUUUGUUGGGAAAGAAAAGCAGCAGGUUAAUACCCCGCUGUUCUGACGGUACCCAAAGAAUAAGCACCGGCUAACUUCGUG